UACGUAGGGUGCAAGCGUUGUCCGGAAUUAUUGGGCGUAAAGAGCUUGUAGGCGGUUUGUCGCGUCUGCUGUGAAAUUUCGGGGCUCAACCCCGAACUUGCAGUGGGUACGGGCAGACUAGAGUGUGGUAGGGGAGACUGGAAUUCCUGGUGUAGCGGUGAAAUGCGCAGAUAUCAGGAGGAACACCGGUGGCGAAGGCGGGUCUCUGGGCCGAUAUUGACGCUGAGGAGCGAAAGCGUGGGGAGCGAACAGG
rnacentral:rRNA from 1 species